AACUCGCUCAGAGCAUGCUCUGAAAGCAAGGCAAGUGUUCAGGUUCAGUGGUCUGAUGCAAUUUUGAGAUAAAAUUGAAUGUUUUGAGGUUUCCUCACGUCCCAAUUCCUGAGUAGACAUCAGAAAACUACGACUUGCACUGUACUCGGAGAGUAGUGUGUUUUCCCAUGACAAUAUAGCUUUGGGAAACUCUCGAUUAUUCAUGCAGUUUCCUGCAACUAAAUGCUGUCCUUUCCUUGGCUACAAAUUAAUUAUAUUCUGGGAAUGGUUUUUGAUAUGCAGGGCUACCGUUCAUCCUGCAGCGUGUUGUUGGCCUCGGCCGAAGUAUAAUUUCUGAAACAUCAUAUAGAGUCAGAAUGGCACCACGCAGCCUGCUGUUGAAUGCUUCAGAGAAUACAGGCUGGUGUGGUUGUUAAGUGAUCAUAUUACAUAUAGUCAGAGAAUACAGACUACGCUACUAGCUUAGCUAGUGAAAUUGGAUCAGAACACGAACCACGAAGCCUCUCCGGUAAUCGCAGCUUCGCACACCAUCGUCGCGUAGUGAAGAAAAACAACUUCUUCCUCCGAUCUUCUCUGCAGGCAACAACAAUGCCAUCAAGCGCCGCAUGCUGACGAUUAAUUUCCUGUACGUUCCUGCAUCCGGCCGGCAACUUGUUCAUUGUUGGCCUGCCGUUUCCUGUGUUGCAUAGCUUAGCGAGGGCAGGCUAGCAACAUGGGUUUUCGUUCGGGUAGAGUAGGCACCGGAUGGAGGGAGCAUCGAUUCGGUUCACAGGCCAACUUCAUUCGUCGAUCAAAUUCUGAUAGUACGUUUCUCUCGUCAUUGGUUUUCGUCCUUGGCAGCAGCAUUUUCAUCAGUUGUGCUCAAGGCGUUGGCUUCCGGCGAUGCAAAAGCUGCCAAAGCUGUUGCCAGAAACUUGAUUGGUUGCCCGCAUGUACGCUGCUCGUGCUGCUCCUACGUACUCUCCUGGUGGUGUCAGACGCAAUUACGCAACCGUGCAAAGCACAUGGAGACGUCUCCUCGCUACCACACACCGAUCAAAACCGAUACAUCAUGCGCAAGCUCACUUUUUGGAAUUCUUGGCCCAUGAAAAUCAUAUCGAUUUCCCGAAACAGCCGAUCCCAGUCGUAGCCCCGUGGCCAUCCAGCAGCCAGUCAGGUAGAUCCCUGAUCCCUCCUCUACCCGGUGGUCGGUGGAGUCACCCGGAUAACUGCAGCAGAUCUGACUCGUGUUCCUCCUCCAUUUUUCAUACCGAUCACCUGUGCCCUCUCCCUCUCCGCGGUGCCGUCCUUCCUCCGUCAGGCCCUUCGCUGGCGAUGAGCACCCAACAGGUACGCGUGCCUCCUCCUCCGUCCGAGCUCAGCCACUCUCUCUCUUCCUCUCCCCCAAUUCGUUAAAAAACGGUAGGGUGGAGGGCGGCUCGUGGGAUGCGCGGCUGGCGGCUGGGGGCGACGGUGUCAAGGGCAGUUCUGAACCCGGACUGUGCUGCCGUCGCCUCCAAAUCCUGCAUGUAUAGGUGUUAGUGAAGCCGCUCUGUCCUGGCGACCACCGCGCAUUAAGGGUGGUUGCGCUCUUCUAGAUCCGGGCUGCCUCUGCCAAUUUCCCCUUGGUACCCUUCUAGAUUCGGCUCGUCAGCUUCGCACUCAAAGUAGGACCGAUAGUUGUAUGUCCUCGACAAUAUUUUAAUAACAUAAUUGAGAAAAAUGGUGUGCGAAGAAUGAUUCAUGGAGCGCGUCCAUCUGUUUGUUUGAAUAGGCAUCUAAAUCUGAAAUUAUUAUGGUCCUCAGCAUAAUGUACUCUGCGUAAUGUGAUACUCCUGAUCCACUCGUUGUUUGCUGUUGAUGUUAUGUGCAAAGCAUUGCUGAGAUCACAUCACAGAUUCACAGGAGCAAGCUAGUUGCCCUUUCCUCCUCGCGGCCGCAUCCGCCGCGUCCCUCCUCUCGGCCCCGGCCUCCGCCGCGGACGCCCACGCCCCCGCCUCCGAUUCCGCCGCCUACGCCUCCGCGCGGGACGCAGCGGCGCGGUGCGCGGCGACGAUCGUGUCCAUCUCGCCGUGCCUGCCGCACGUGGCGGCGGUAGCGCCGCCGCUGGCCACGUCCCCGCCGGCGCCCACCGACGCCUGCUGCGUCGCCUUCCUCCGCGCCGUCUACCCGUCGGGAGGGAGCGGAGGGGAGGGCUGCCUCUGCCACCUGCUCCGCAACCCGCUCCUCCUCGGCUUCCCCGUCGACGCCGCCCGACUCGGCGCGCUCCUCCCCACCUGCGCCGCGGGAAACUCCUUCGCCGCCGCCACCGUCGAGGCCGCCACCCUCUUCGCCGACGCCUGCCGAGGUGAGCGAGCCACGAGUUCACAAAACACCCCGUGCCCUCCUCCCCUCCCCUCCCCUCUCGUGCCAUGGUUGAGGAACCCUCGGCAUUGUCGCCUCAGGCGUGCUCGGCGCAAUGGUUAAUUUGCUGACGCUCUCGUGUUCUGGGGUGUGCUUGCUGUGCAGCAAGCCAGCAACAGCACAAGUAGGACUAGUUCAUUAACACUUGCUUGCGUGUGUCGUAGACACCAUGGUCGUUCGAUUCCCUGAUGGCUAGUCGAUUAGUCGUCGUCUCAAUCAGCCCUCCAUGUUUGAUUUUAGAGACUCUGUUUUCUCCCCUAGUGAAUUGCUGCAACAAUUACAUUUCUGAUCUUUGUACUGAUUACAGUGGUACUUGCUACUUAGCAUGUUCUAUUUUGGCCUCGAGACAUAUCCUGAUGGUUAGUAGGGUUCUUGGAAUCAGGUGUAUGUGACAGAGGUUCACCUUUAAUGUUAGAUAUUCAUUGCUUGGCAGUUGGCUCCCAUGCUAAUUAGCUGUUUAGGCUCUUAGGUACUCCUCAAGGGUCUAGACAACAUCGUUGAUCUCUCAGUUAAGCUUGUUCAAACAUGGAGGCACAAAGUGUAUGAUAUGGUUUACUUGCUUCUCAAAUUGAUAUUGCUUUUACCAGUGGCAACAGCGAGUGUUGAAAGGGUAUUUUCUGCAUUGGUUAUAGUGAAAACAAAGUCAAGGAAUAAGCUAGGUGAUAGUGUUUUGGACGAUUGUCUAGUCACAUUCAUUGAGUGGGAUAUUUUCUUCCAAGUGAAUGAAGAUGAUAUAAUCAAGACAUUCAUAUCACUCAAAAAGCGGCGGGUAAACAAAGCAGACAAGUAAUAUUUUAAGUUUCUUUUAUGCUAUAUUUCGAACUAUUUCUAUUUCAUUUGAACUAUUUAUAUUGUGAUUUGUUUUUGUUUCUAGCUUAAAUCUUUGAAUUUAAGACUUAUCAUGUUAUUUAGUGCAUGUGGUUUACCGAAUUAGAAUAUGGUUUUACCAAAUUGUAAAUGGUUUUAUCGAAUUGCAUAAGAUUUUGUUUUUCGGCAUACCUUGUGGUGAAAUCCUAGGUUUUCGUCCUCUGGCAGCAGCAUUUUCAUCAGUUGUGCUCAAGGCGCUGGCUUCCGGCGAUGCAAAAGUAGCCAAAGCUGUUGCCAGAAACUUGCUUGGUUGCCCGCAAAUAUGCUGCUUGUGCCGCUGCUACGUACUCUCCUGGUGUCAGACGCAAUUACUCAACCGCGCAAGGCACAUGGAGACGUCUCCUCGCUGCCACACACCAAUCAAAACCGAUGGACAAGUCAACGGCUGCAUGCGCAAGCUCACUUUUUGAAAUUCUUGGCACAUGGAAAUCAUAUCUACUUCCCGAAACAGGCGUCCCAGCCGUAGCCCCGUGGCCCUCUAGGUAGGUAGUCAGGCAGAUCCCUGAUCCCCCCUCUUACCCGAUGGUCGGUGGAGUCACCCGGCCAACUCCAGUGGAUCUGACCCGCGUUCCCCCUCCAUUUUUCAUACCGAUCACCCGUGCCCUCUCCCUCUCCAUGGUGCCGUCCUUCCUCCGUCGGGCCCUUCGCCGGCGACGAGCACCCAACAGGUACUCGCGCCUCCUCCUCCAUCCGAGCUCAGCCGCUCUCUCUCUUCCUCUCCCCCGAUUCGUUAGUGAAUGGCGGGGUGGAGGGCGGCUUGUGGGAUGCGUGGCCGGCGGCCGGGGCGGGUAGUGUCAGGGGCAGUCCUGAACCCGGACUGUGCAUGCCAUCGCCCCCAAAUCCUGCAUGUGCAGGCGUUAGUGAAGCCGCUCUAUCCUGGCGACCACCGUGCAUCAAGGGUGGUUGCGCUGUUCUAGAUCCGGGUUGCCUCUGCCAAUUUCCCCUUGGUACUCUUCUAGAUCCGGCUCGUCAGGUUCGCACCAACGGUAGGGCCGAUAGCUGUAUGUCCUUGGCAAUGUUUUAAUAACGCAAUUGAGCGAAAAUGGUGUGCGAAGAAUGGGUCAUGGAGCGCAUCCAUCUGCUUGUUUGGAUAGGCAUCUAAAACUGAAAUUAUUAUGGUCCUCAACAUAAUGUACUCUGCGUCAUGUGAUACGCCUGAUCCACUCCUUGUUUGCUGUUGAUGUCAUGUGCAAAACAUUGCUGAGAUCACAUCACAGGAGCAAGCUAGUUGCCCUUUCCUUGCUCUUGAGAGCCUCUGUCAACUUGUUGGAAUGAAUACCUGCAACUACCCCUUCUUUUUUUCUCAGAUCUGAUAAUCUUUGUGGCUACUCUGAUCACUGAGUGAUUGUUUUCCUGUGGCAGGUGCAUAGUUUGUGGGCUUGGUCUUGAUAAUUCCGGUGAUCAACAAAGCCAUUGAAGAUGGUACGCUAAUUGGUUUCUUAGUGCUAAUAAACUGAUUUACUAAUGUCAAUGAACAUUCUGGCAUUUAACCCUUUGCUGCUAUUUUGUUAUUGUAUCUUCUUUCUGGAAGGGCUGGUUGUUUUUUUUUAAAUUUUUUUUGUGUACCUCCAGGUGGUUCUUGCAGCUUCCAUCGUUUCAAAGUCAGGAAAAGGUAUGGUGCUUCAGUUAACCAGAUUCUUCGCUAUUGUCGAUUCCCAUAUAAUUUUAUUUUGUACCUCCUUGUUUAUCUGUUAUGUACUUCUGUUAAUUCUAGUCACCAUGUGCUACAUGGUUGCAUCCUAUCACAUAAUCAUAUUGCUAACUAGUUGGUUCUUUACUUAUAUAAGUCUAUGGGUUCACAUGAUGUGAAACCACUAUGUCAGUUUAUCUAGCUUUCCCCCACGGUUGCUACUUUUUUCUUUAAAAGAAGUGAAGGGACUAAGCUGAAGGCUGUUUUUUUUUCUGUUUUCAUUCGCAGCACUUGUUUCAAGACAGUUUGUUGACAUGUCUCGCAUAAGAAUUGAAGGAUUACUCGCUGCGUUCCCGAAACUGGUUGGGACUGGGAAGCAGCACACAUAUGUUGAAACUGAAAAUGUGCGUUAUGUUUAUCAACCUAUUGAAGGUUUAUAUCUUCUACUUAUCACUAACAAGCAGAGCAAUAUUCUUGAAGAUCUGGACACUUUGAGGCUGCUCUCCAAGCUCGUAUCCUAUUUAAUAUGAAUGAAAAUAGAAACUUGGUUUUUUUGGGGGUGGGUGGGAGUGUUAACUUCAAGAACAUAGGCUCAAGAUGACCAUACUGGCCUAUCUGGAUUUUACAGAUUUUACAUAUUACUGAGGGGGGAAACUUAAAAUGCAACAUGCACUAUAGUUGCUUGAAAGUAUCUAUGCAAAAUCUUAACCAAUAUGAAUCUCAUUUCUGAGAGCUGUGUAUAUAUUAACUUCAUGCUACUAUUCAGUGGUAUGUUCUUUCACAGUAAUAUUCUUAUACUACCAUCUCCUUAACUCUUGGAAAGGUGCCUGAAUACUCCCCUUCCUUGGAUGAGGAAGGUGUCUGUAAAACAGCUUUUGAGCUUAUUUUUGCUUUCGACGAAGCCAUCUCUCUCGGAAAUAAGGAAAAUGUAACAGUGCAACAAGUCAAACAAUAUUGUGAGAUGGAGAGCCAUGAAGAAAAGGCACACAAGCUGAUGAUGCAAGCCAAAAUCAAUGAAACGAAGGAUGUCAUGAAGAAGAAGGCUAAUGAGCUUGACAAAAUGAGGGUCUGCACUACUCUUUUCACCAGAUUUAAAAUAUGUUGUAAUUCAUUUAAGUCGUUAUGGGUCAUGUGGGUAUUUUCUGUCAAUCAGCCUUAUUGAACUCUUUCAUUUUGCAUCAAUUUGUGUAAUGUCGCUAGUUAAGUUAAAGCAUCCAUUUAGAGCAUAUUUUGGUAACUCCAGUUUCUCAUGAAUUAACUUGUUGGGAUGGCAUUUGUGAGAUAUAAGCAUACAUAAAGAUGUACUACUGAAUCCUUUCUGGAAAAAAAAACAUAGGAUAGGAUUUAUGGAUUGAAAAUUUCUUGAAAGGAGAGUGGAACCCAAAUUAUUUAGAGGAAAAUUUAGUUAGGUUCCAUUACUGAGAUGUUAAAUUGUAUUAUCAUGUCAGGCUAUUUUGAGUAUGCGUCUUAGUAGUUAGAUUGUACUGCAAUGAUAUUUUUGGGUAUUAUUUUUUAAUGUCUAAGGGGUUAUAUUUUGUGGGUGGUGUUAAUUGCAGAUGGAAAGAGGUAAACUUGACAAAGGCGGAUACUCAUCAAUAUCUGGUCCACGUGUGAUUGAAAAAGCUUUCAAUGAUAUGAGCAUCAGUGGUUCUCGAUUUGGUAGCGGUUCUGGAUUAGGUGGACUGAGCGCUGACAUGGACUCAUUUGCUAGCAAGCCCAAAGGUAAAUCCUUUCUUUCUCUUGGAUUUCUCGAUCAAAUUUUAUUUUAGAAAAGACAAACUUAUUGCAUCAAUUUAUGUCGACGACUUAAACAUUUUCUUCCUUUUUGCAUGCGCAUCUAGUUCUGUUUCGGUCUCCACACAGCCAGGAAAUAUAUGACAUAUAUUACACCCUUUUUUCUUUUUAUUAUGACCCCCUGUAUUUACAUUCUUUCCACAAGUUCUCAUCAUAUCUAUGGAGUAUAGAUACUCCUAGCUUGUUAGGCUUAUCAAUCCCUGAAACUUUGCAGUUCAUACUAUAUUUUACAAAACAAGUUGAAGAUGAGUUAAUAGCAAUAUUGUUCGAAUAAUAAAUGAAGAAGCUUACCUAUCACUUUACUUUGUCUCACUUUCAUGAUGCAUUUAUAAUAUUUUUGAGUUAAUACUAUAUACUUUAAACAUAUAGUGUGUUGGGAUCAUCCUGUAGUUAAGUUCUAUUCAGAUCUUUCUGACUCGGUAUUAGGGAAACAGGACUACAUUACCUGAUUUCUGGUCAAAAUGCUAGAGACAAUACAGGGCUAGCAUAUGACCUAUAUUUGAUUCUAACUGCAAGCGUUGUUUCGACAGGUCAUCCAUCUACAGCUGCUACUGCACCCGGUAAAGGUCUUGGUAUGAAAUUGGGCAAGACACAGAAGACAAAUCAAUUCCUCGAAUCAUUGAAAGCUGAAGGAGAAGUCAUUUUGGAGGAUGUACAACCAAGUGCAGUUCCUUCAAGAUUGUCUGCUCUUCCACCAAGUGAUCCUGUCACAGUGACUAUAGAGGAGAAGCUCAAUGUUGUUGUUAAAAGAGAUGGAGGUAUCAAUAACUUUGAUGUUCAAGGAACCCUUGCUCUUCAGGUUCUCAAUGAUGCUGAUGGAUUCAUCCAAUUGCAGGUAAUCUUUUUUUUAAAAAAAAAUACUUGUGUGUAUAUGGAUGGAAAGCUGUAACCUAUGUAUCACCGAUACGGAAUACGCCGAUACCGAUACCGGUACGGAGAUAUGUUGAUUUCCAAAAAACACAGAUACGCCGAUACGUCAAAAACAUAUAUAUAAUACAUAUUUAAAUAUGAUAAGAAAAAUAAAGAAAGAGAAAAAACAGAGAAAAGAUGAGAUGCGCUUCUAUGUACUAGCUGCCGGCCCACUCAGCCCACCUAAGAACAUUACUUACCCUAAUCAUCUCUCCCCACGCACUCAAGCUGCCGCCGCCAUCAUUACUCUUUUCUUCUUCCUCGCCUCGCCGUGUCUCUUCCUCCCAAGUCCCAACGCAGCUCCACCAUCUCCAGUUAGUGUUUCACACUGCCGAAUAGCAAAAUGGAUAGCCCUUGACUCCUCUCCGGUACUCUCAGAUCCUGUGCUCUUCUCAUAUCACAUCCAUCUCUCUAGGCCCUCUCCAGUUCUGCAUCUCUCUACUGCUACCCAGGGACAGGAAGAAGUAUCGGAGGGAAGUAUCAGAGACGUAUCGCUAAUUAAAUUAUUUGUUUUUCCAUCGUAAUUUCUCGAUACACGUAUCAGGCCGUAUCGCGAUGUAUCGCCGUAUCCCGCCGUAUCCGAUACCGGUACAGCGACCUGUUGGACGUAUCGGUGAUACGUAAGCUGUAACUAUGAAACAGUAUAUAGCUAUAUUUGCCUUGUCAUGUGAACCUAUAUUGACAUUGUAUUAUAUUCAUUGUUCUGGUCGCCUUUCAUUUAUCCUUCUUGUGCUGUUUUUUUUUUCUCUUAUUGCCAAUAAGCAGCUUUAUUGCACACAGCAGCGUAUAAUCAUAUGAAUCAGCUUAUCAGUUGAUUUUUCUAACAUAUGGUGUGUUGUAGAUUGAAAGCCAAGAUAUUCCUGGACUUAGCUUCAAAACACACCCCAAUAUCAACAAGGAGUUGUUUAACAGUCAACAAAUUUUGGGAGCAAAAGAUCCAAACAGGCCCUUCCCGAGUGGUCAAAAUGAAACUCCUCUGGUGAAAUGGAGAAUCCAGGGGAUGAACGAAUCAUCUUUACCUCUCUCAGGUGCAACAUAACUUUGUUUAUAUCUGUCUAAGAAUUUGGAAAUUUGGACUUGCAUUAACAUGCUUUUGCUCGAUGUAGUCAAUUGCUGGCCGUCCGUGUCUGGAAAUGAAACCUAUGUCAACAUUGAAUAUGAAGCUUCUGAGAUGUUUGAUCUUCACAAUGUUGUCAUAUCUAUACCACUGCCAGCACUUCGGGAGGCUCCAAAUGUUAAACAGAUAGAUGGAGAGUGGAAGUAAUGUUUCCUUUUCCUCUUCAGUUUAUUUAUAUGUUAUUUACUAAAGUAUGUCGCAUAAAUUAUUGUGACAGUGCAUUACCAUAUAUGCACUUGGUUUUGGUCUUUAUGUGAGGCCUUUUAUUAUUAAUCUUUAACAGACCAAAUGUGAUAACCUCUAGUGUUUUGCUGUUAUAACUGGUAUAUCAAGCUGUUACAGUGGACUCGUCUAUAUGCAGCUCAGCUUUUGUAUCCUAGAUGGUAGUGCUUUCUAUAGGUCUGAAAAAAACUGUGGUGUUUACUGCUUUAUUCCGUUUCCUUGUGGCAUUUCGUGAUGCACCUUUCUUUGAUUUUAUUGAACUGAGCUUGUGUUUGUUGUCUCAGCUUUUUUUUAUUGUUUCACUUUUCCUUGUGCAAACAGGUUUGACUCAGAAAUUCUGUGUUGGAAUGGUCUAUUCUCCUUAUUGAUCAGUCCAACCGCAGGUUAUUUGAAUAUUUAAGAUCAUGAUCACCAUUCUAUUUUGUAGAUUUAGUUCUUGUGUCUUAACUAUUGCUUUAUGUGCCCUUUGCAGUGGUUCCAUGGAAUUUGUCGUCCCCCCAGCUGAUCCAUCAUCAUUCUUCCCCAUCUCUGUUGGGUUUUCUGCAUCCGGUACUUUCAGUGAUUUGAAGGUUGGUUCCCGCAUGCUGCUCGAAUGAGCCCUCCUAUGUUUGGUGUCUCCCUAUUCAUCCUUGUCAAUUGUGUUUAUCUGAAACUUUUCAGGUUACUGGAAUCCAUCCUCUGAAGGAAGGCAACGCUCCGAAGUUUUCACAGCGGGCUUGUUUGCUCACUGCUAACUAUCAAGUAGUUUAAUGCUCUUAUCAUGGUCGAGUGUUGUUUCACUUAAAUACUCCAACGGCACCGGGUAGUAACACAACGUAUUUUUGCCAUGAACUUCUUCGAGCCAUGGCAGGGAGCAUUGUUUCGCAUUUGGAGAAUAUUAUCCUUUUGCCCUUUCAUUUUUAGCGUGUUGCGCGGAUUGAUGUUCAUUCAGAUGUAUUGUUGCCAGAGAAAAUAAGCACCUGAGUUCUUGCAUUUCUCUUGGUACUGGCCCUGGCAGGGAGUUGCGCAGCAACCAGUGGGCGAAUGCAAGGCCGCUGGAAAAGCAGGCGAGAUCUCUGGUUCCGUUCUGUACUGAUGCGAACUUGCUACGCAACAGAUUAGUGAAAUGGAUCGGAGUAUCGGAGCCACUGCACUCCAGUACUCCAAUGGCACGUCAUCGCGUGCCCAAGGAACACGAGAAUUGGUUCGCUUGAUGAAGCGGGCAGAAACAGAGAAUACGAAGUCAACGAAUUGAAUUUUACGCUCGACCGACACCGUCAUUAAAUAGGAAAUCCAUCUACAGCUAGCAAAGUGUAGUAAAGGCCCAUAAGCUGAUGAGCCCAUGGCCCAUUCAAGCAUAAACACCCUGGGUCAGUGCUGGCCCAUCUUGGCCUCUCGUUUCUCGCCAGGAGGCGGCACGCCGAAUUUUUUUAUUUUUUUAUUUUUUCUUUAACGAUUUUGCGGAAAUAAAUAGCUGGCGGUAACAAAAGCAACAAGGCAACGGCUCGACAGAUUAUUUAAUCGUGCGUCCUUCCAGUACGUUCUACAAGGACGAUUAGAUGGCCACUGAAGCCGGUUGGCACCGUGCAGUAACCCGUCUUUUUUGUUUUUUAACUUUUUUUCGAAAAAUUCUCAUAAAUACAUCCCAACGGAACCAAUUCCAAAAAUAAACCCUUAGCUUGACGCUAUCCACGCUGGUGCCAAGCUUACACGUUUCGGCGCCAGCCAUCCUGGUACCAAGGUCCAUGCGCAGCUGCUGACGUGGAUGCCGACGUGGCGGGGGCUCGCCAAGCUUGAUGCCGUAGGCCUUGGCGCCGAGAAAUUUACCCCAUACCUCCUAACGUUUCGAACAAAACAAGUAUAAUUAUUCCGAAAAAUGUGCAACAAACUACACUCUAGUCCAAUUAGUUAGGAUAUGAGCUUCUUAUCCUAAAGAUUUUUUGUUCGUUCGUUUGCAUCGAGAACGUUUCCUCAUCAGACGCUUCUAUGUCAGCUGUUUAUCUGCACUGUCCUUUGUCCCAUUCAACGUCCCCACACUGUAUUUGUGAGUGGCUGAUGAAUCGUUCAUCGAGCAAUGUUGAGCCUGACUGUUUCUGGAACAAAAGAACAGUGCUGUGUGCGUUUUGCUUCAUCAACUUAUCUGCAUCUGUCCUGCAAUGAAUCUGUCUGCUGUGGUGGGACGGGAUGUGAGACGUGAGAGGCGCGACGUUGUGCAAAGAAUAGUUGGACUGUAAUACUCCCUCCGUUCGUUUUUGAUCCGAAAAAUUCUCCUUUGAUGCAAACGAACAAAAAAAAUAAAAUACCCUCACCGUUCGUUUUUGAUCCGAAAAAUUCUCUUUUGAUGCAAACGAACGGAAAAAAAAAGUAGUAAAAAGAUUCAACAUAGAGGUUUGAACUCAGGCCUUUGGAAUAAGAAACCCACAUCCUAACUAAUUGGACUAGAGUGUAGUUUGUUGCACACUCCUCGGAAUAAGUAUACUUGUUUCUCUCAAAACGCCAGGAGGUAUGGGGUAAAUUGCUUGGCGCCAAGGUCUACGGCACCAUGAUGGCGCCAAGCCCCCGCCACGUUGGCAUCCGCGUCAGCAGCUGCGCAUGUACCUUGGCGCCAGGAUGGCUGGCGCCGAGACGUGUAAGCUUGGCGCCAGCGUGGAUGGCGCCAAGCUAAGGGUUCAUUUUUGGAAUUGGUUCCUCACGCUGGCGCCAAGCUAACGGUCCAUUUUUGGAAUUGGUUCCGUCAGGGGUGUAUUUGUGAGAAUCUUUAGCAAAAAGGGUUAAAAAACAAAAAAGUCGGCAGUAACUCUCAUCUACCCUGCUAGCUAUCACUACGACCUCAGAUGCCUCAUGCUAUUGGUGGCUUGGUGCCUGUCCUCCAGCCUUUACUGCACGCGCGCAUCUAACUCAUUGACUCUACUCUUCCGCCAGUCAGUCACCACCAUUUCUUUCGAACGGAACGGUGCCUGCUUGGCUGCUUUGCUUGUCGUCCCUCCACUCUACUUAGCUCGUCGGCCGGCCACCUCUUCUCCACUGGAUCCGGUGCUCAACGACGGUUGCGUCGGUGCCCUCUACCCAGGCCGCUCCCAGGCAUGGUGCUUGGCGUUGGAGUGACUGACAUGGGAUCUUUCAGGUAGGCGCUGGAGGUACCGGCAUCUGUGUUGGGCAUAAUCAGCUUCUCCUGGUUUCCCUUGGGUGAGUACCAUGCUCUUGAGUCUUGUCACAGCGGCAUCCCUUUUGUUUUGCUCCUCUGGCAGUGGCAAUAGAAAUGUCAGUAUCAGUAGCAACAUGUCCUGAUGGUUUUCUGUUUCUGCAUCCAGCAAACUCAAAGGUCAACAGCACUGAGCUCGGCUCCAACAUUGGUGCACUCAAAAUGGAGUUGAUGUACGUGCAAGAUAUGCUCGACAACACGGAGGGGAGGGACAUCCACAGCCCUGCACUCAAAGAGCUUCUAGGGAUAUUUACGCCUCCACUACUCGCCCAUUUGGAGUUGCUGGAGUGUCUAGGGAUGCAUUGAAGAUCAAGACUCAUCAAGAACACAUCCAUGCCACCAAAAGUGCUUAAGUGAUCUAUCAAAGGCUUAGCACAAGCUUAGAAGAGUGAUUAGUGCUAGGAUAGGUUUAGAGAGGAGUGAGUGCAAGGUGUGACAACACUGUGAUCAGGUUCUAGAGUGAACCACCGCUGUACAAGAGGUGUGCCGGUACCUUGGAGCCUUGGUAGUUCGUAGGCAAGUCUUCAACCCUCCAGCUUGGUGUGGAGUAGUGUCGACGACCUUGUGUGAGGGACAUGAAGACCCCCUUUCCUUCAUGGAGAAGCUCCUUAAUGAAGACAGCAUCAAGGUGACCGAGUUACUUGGCGUGAGCAUUUGUGGCAAGUCAAGGAGCACCUUGGGAGAGACUUGGUGACCCGGAAGCAAUAUUCUUGUGUGAGUGCUUCAACAACGUGGACUAGUGAUGGCUUAGUGCCUACCGAUACCACGGGAUAAAUCCUUAUGUCAAGAGUUUGAUUCCUCUCAAAUCAUCAAAUUGCAAAAAUUGUUAAUGUUCAAGAUUUGGGAGAAGGUGACCCAAUUACCAUCCCCGCUCUAGGCCCAACUGAGCCCACCCACAACCAACCAACUCAGGCACUCCGCAGUCCGCAUGGCCCAACACACGCCUCACUCCUCUCAGCAGCCCUCCUACAUGGCGUCUCCGCGCGCCGCCCACCGGUGCACUCCCCCAACCAUCGCCACCGCCUCCACCCUGGGGCCACCCACAUCACCGCGCCCGUCCGUCCACCUCCAACUGACUCAUCAGCUCCUGAGCCACCCGACCACUCAGUCAGAUGUUGCCGCUCCGCCGCCACGGCUCCUGCUAAACAACGUCUCGUGCAUGCAGAACACGUAGACGGUGCUCCGGGACAUCAAUCUCGGUGUCCACGAUGGCACGGCCCUCGUUCUCACCGGCGCCAAUGGCUCCAGCAAGACCAUCCUGCUCCGCAUGCUGGCGGGAUUCUCACAGCACACGAUGGGGGAGAUCCUCUGGAACGGCCACGACGUCACCUCCCCAGGCAUGUUCCAGCAGUACAAGCUGCAUCUCAACUGGAUGUCACUCAAGGAUGCUAAGUGUGCUAAACAUCACCUCAAACGCAAAUAGACACUUUAAUCGAAUCAAAAUGGUAGUCUGUCGGGUUCCCGGUACAACCACGUAUUUCUGAUUGAAACAAGCAUACAACACUCGUACGAAGAUGAGCCCAAAGAUUACAACAGCCCAGAUGUAAAUAUUACAGAGGUCCCAAAUUAAUUUAUUACAAACCGAGUUUCAAAUGCAUAAAGUAGUUCAGAGUUCAAAAGCAGCGAAAAUAAAUGAUAGAUCUAGCGUCGAUACAGGAUACCAUGGUGAAGCUAUCCAUGAUAUCACUCACCACGGUCCUCACCCACCGAGGACGGGUCCUACUCAACUGGUCAUCCUGGAAAGAGCUGGUACGACCAAGUCACACUAGCAAUCAUGUUAUCAACAUCAACAAUAUAUGAAAACAUAGCAACAAGCAAGGGUGAGUAUACUAAUACUCUGUAAGACUUACCCGUCAGGUGUUAUCUAAUCCAUCAACUCCUAGACAUGCAAGGCUUUUUGGCUGAGGGGUUUGUUUUUGCCAAAAGCUUCUAAAGUGGAUCUGUCGGUGCAAAAUCUGGCCGACAAGUAAAUAUUUGUAGUUUUGCCGUGCGUUAGAUCGGAGAUGGCCUAGCACACAAUGACACAGGAUGUAUAUUGGUUUGGGCAACACACCCUACGUCCAGUCGGGGUCAGUCAGUCGACUUUAUUCCUGAGUCCAUGUGCUCAAAGUUUAUAGUGGGGGUACGAAUGAGAGGAGGAUGAGAGGGGGUGCCUGAGUCUUGGCCUUGUUCUCAUCUCAGUGGAAGAGAGUGGUAUGAGUUCAGACAUGCGCUAAGUGUGUGAGAGUGUGAGAGCGUAAGAGUGUAAGAACAUCCAAGUGCGUAUAUCAACAUCCCCGUCCCCCCGUAGAGGUAGGGGAUUCGUCCCCUUUUAGAGUACAAGGGAACGACCUUACAAGUCAGAAUGGAUAAGAGAGUGAGUCUACAGAUGUUGCCUAGUCUUGUCGAAGCCCACGUCGUCUGGUGUGGUAUAGCCUCCGUCCUCGGUCCCUGUUCUCCUCGUCAGGCCACUCCGUCGUAGCGAGUAAGUUUACGGCGGCACUGUGCGAGGCGUGCAGAAGGCAUGAUGUGGUACGGUUUUGUGUAUGGCCAGUUGACCCGGGUGCUUCCUCAUGAUCCGUCCCACCUACUCCCUGGGCCCACACCGAGUGGGUGUCCUCGGUCAGUUGUCCUAGACGGCCCCGACUGAGUCGGUUGGGGGGAGCAGUAUGGACGGUACGGUGCAUCCCCGGUCAUGAGAACUCAGUCGGGGUCGGACUGUGGCCCCACCCUCAACUGACUCCUUCCGGACGGGGUGCUGACUAGGCUUCCUGGUUGGAGGAAUCGGCCGGUGGCUGGAUUGGGGCCUCAGCCUGGCUACGUGUAGCUGGGCCGGCCCAGGUGCACGUUGUUGCGGUGCCCCUCAUUGGGCCAAGUGUUGUGGGAAGGCUGUCCCAUUGGGGACCCCGGGUCUGUGGACCCGUCAGGAGCCACUGAGCCCCUUUGGGGCUUUGUUGAAGCCAUGAAGGGGCUUUUGGUCGGAAUGUUCCAUCAGGGGGAACACACAGGGGUGUUGUUUGUUUUUUUCUUGUUUGCGAAGUGGGCAGGCCGAGUAGGUUCAAGCGUUCUAGCCCCUCGAGUAGGUACAUGCGCCCAACUCUCGAGGGGACGACCGGCAGAGGCCGCAGGGGCGCAUCAGAUAGAUACUGAUGCCCAGCUCCCAAGGAGAUGAUUGGCGUGGGUUGCAGGGGUGCACCGGAUUGUAGAAGGUGCCCAGCUCUCAAGGAGGGGACUUGCUUGUUGUCCGACAUCUGCCUGGUUCAUGUGAGCGGACCUGGUGGGUCUAGCCCCCGAGCCUACGGCCGACUGAGGAGUUGGUCGGAGGCUGAGCACUUGGGUACCCCUUUGACCAGAAGCGAGUCAAGCGGAUACUGAUGCCCUUCUCCCGAGGAGGGGAUCCGUUGUUAGUCCGGCUUCCGCCGGGUGCGCGCGAGUGCACCUGAUGGGUGUAGCCCCCGAGCCUACGACCGACUAGAGAGUCGGUCGGAGGCCGAGCACUUAGGUACUCUUUUCUGGGGCCGCACACUUUGGCGUCCCUGUCGGUCAGGAUGAGGUGGUCCUUCUUGCGAGUUGGGGUGCUUGCCCGUGUUCGUUCUGACCGCAACUUGUGUCGUUGGUCGUAUUCCCGAGUCAGGAUAUGACGGCCCGAGCCCCCAAGUUUCGUUGGGCUUAGUCGACGUCGGUCGAGUUUCAUGCAUCACCCUGUCCGCGGUCUCCACGACCAGAGGGGCUGAGCUAGCGUCGCUUGCCUCGAUGGCUCGAGCAACGCACUCGGUGAGCUUGCUAAUGGGCAUGUCCGAGUGGAAUCCGGGUCCGUCGUUCGUAACGGGGUCAGCAUAGCCCUCAUGUGGCAUUCCACUGCUCCUUAACCCGUAUCCCGACAAAUGCCUGAGCUGCUCCGGAGACCGACUCAGGUGACCGGCUGGCCUCUCCUCCAUGGAGAUUCUAUGGGCAUGGCUUGAGGACAGGAUUGAACGAGAAGGUCGAGAUGAUCUCGUCCGCUUCUGAGCAGGUCGGGCGAAGGCCAUUGGGGCUUCACCUACAUUUUCACCUUUGGCUCUGUUUGAUGUGAGGUGUCCUCGAGCCCUUUGGGUGCUAGCCUUCGAACCCCGGUCGGUCGCAGCUCAUAUCGAAUGAACCUCAUUGCUUUAUGACACGACACAAAGCCAUUGGAAUGCAAUGAUUACAUGAAUGAGAUGAAUGUAUGAUGCAUGAAUGAAUGCAUGCACGCAUGAGAUGGAUGAAUAAAUGUGUGCACGCUUGUAGAGCAUGUAAAUGGGGGGUCGGUGAUGUUGCCUUGGUCGGUCUUUCAGGCGUCACCCCAUUUGUGGUUUCCGCAACAAGAGGGGCUAAGCUAGCGUUUCUUAUCUCAAGGGUUCGAGUGACAGGCUCGAGGCACCAUUAGCGGGUACGCCUGAGUGGAAUCCGUAUCCAUCGUAGGUGAUGGGGUUGGCAUGUCCUGCAUGUUAGCUUUCCUCUGUUUUUACCUAUCUCCCAUCGGAUGCUCGAACCCUCCGAGUGCCCUGCUAGCCUUGGUUCGAUGAAGGCUCAGACGGUGGGUCCCUUCGCUCCGUCCGACCGACCCGAGUGCCUACUAUCCUUGGUUUGAUGGAGGUUCUGACGGUGGGUCCCUCCACUCCCUUGCCUCAAAAGGCGAAGGGGCUCUUGCAUGUGGUUUUGCCCCAUUUUUCGCGGUUUCGCUGCAGAAGUAGGUGGGCCCCUCCUAGGUCAUGCCCAAUUGUGUAGGGUCACGUCCCGUUGGUUGCGUCCUGUCCGCCAGGGCUCCAUCCUCCCUUCCCUAUUAAAUAGGGGGAGGGGUGGAUGUCUUCUGGCCCAUCCUUUCACCUUCCCUCGAUCGUUGCCGCUUCCUCCUCCGCCCUUCCACCAAAAAGAUAUGUUCAUUGCCUCCCGUUGCGUGAUGUCUAAUGGGAGGCCGUCCACCAUGACUGCGAUGUGGGCCAUGGAGGCUCGCCGCUCGUGGAUGGCCGCACGCACGUGUCGGGAGGGUGUCGCCAAUCCUGAUACAGUGGUGCAAGCCAGGACGGAGCUGGGCGCUGUCCCGACCGCGACCGACCCGAGCGUUGACCCAACUACGAUAGGGGAGCUCUCGUCCUUGUAAGUUGUGCCGCCAACCGACUCGGCCGAGGGGGAGCAGUAGAAUAGGGGUAGUUAGUUUCUUUGUGUGUGAAAGAAAUUUGUGGGGGACUGUGAGCCCCUGAGUGAACAAUCUUAAGUUCAUUUGUGAUUGUGAUGGGGAGCUUGUCCCACCCAUCCUCAUUUUCACCCUUAAGCAAUUUCUGCUUUUUGCCCUUUUCCUUUCAGACCUGCCCGUUGACCAUGGGCUGCAACAUUAAGAACCUAGGCAUGGCCCGCGAGGCUCAGUUGCUCGUAACCGUAGUUGUGGCAGGGUCCAAUCGGUCCGCAAGCUAGAGCAUAAGUUGCUUUUAGGGUGAAUUAGAGGAUGGGAUGCCUUUCAUUUGGGCACGCCCUUUCACUUGAGCGAGCUGCGUGGUUACGCAAAAAGUAAAGAGGGGGUGGUGCUGCACCCCCGUGGAGCCCCCAAGCGACCCGAGCCGAGAGUGCUCAAGCCGGGUGCUGUAGCAGCAACUGUUGAAUGGAAAAGGACUUGUAAUGAACCGAGUUAAGGAAAUAAACAACGUAACUACUCAAUGUUCCAAGUGUUAGUGAGGAUGUUGCUGUCGUCGUGCUUCAGUCGAUAGGCGCCCAGUCGGAUCACCUCAGCUACCGUGUAUGUUCCUUCUUGUUCUUCUUGCCCUACCGUGCGGAGGGACCCUCAUCCUGGUCUCACCCUUGGCCAUGCCCUUGUCCCGACCACCACUGAAGACCGCCCCGACCGCCUCCUCACCGAAGGCGUGGUUUGUGGCGAUGUCAAGCAGGUCGCGGGUGGUCUGGGGCUUCAUGCAGCCAAGCUUGUGGACCAAGGACUUGUAGGUCAUCCUAGAGAGGAACGCACUGACAACAUCUACGUCGACGACGUCGGGUAGGGAGUUGCAUUGCCUUGAGAACCUACGGAUGUAAUCCCACAGGGACUCGUUAGGCUCUUGCUUGCAACUCUUAAGGUCCCAGGAGUUCCCAGGGCGGACGUAGGUCCCCUGGAAGUUCCCGACGAAGACCUUCUUGAGGCCUGCCCAGUCAUGGAUGCUGUUGGGCGGUAGAAAUUUGAGCCAUGCCCGAAUAAACUCCCCUACGCAGAUGGGGAGGUACUGGAUGACGAAGUAGUCAUCAUCUGCUCCACCGUCUUGGCAGGCAAGCCGGAAGUCUUCGAGCUAUACACCGGGAUUUGUCUCCCCAGUGUACUUCAUGAUGUUGGUAGGCAGUCGAAAGUGCUGUGGGAAAGGUACUUUUUGGAUACGGUGACCGAAGUCCCGUGGUCCCAGUCCAUCCGGCCUAGGGUUCCGGUCACCGUUCUAGUCAAUUGGUCGGCCGCCUUGCCUAGGGUGCACUCCUUCACGCUCCUCGUCGGACCGAUCGCGGGCCGUGUUGGCUGCCCUUGCCACCAUUUGUUCGACGUAGGCGUCGUGCUGCUCCAGGCAUCGCGUGUGGAUGACACUACGUGCUUCAUGGUUUGGCCCAAUCCGCUCACGCACGGGCUAACAUUACGGCGCUGGUGCCAGGUCGGGCUGCGGAGCCGCUGCACCGCUCGGCCCUGCUCGACGUGCCUGCGGGGGCGAGCAGAUGGAGUAGAUUGGCUGGUGCGGCCCCAGCGCUCUGGUUAGGCAAGAGGCUGCGUGUCACUGUCGCAACAUGGAGCCCUUUGCCUUCUGUACGGUGGCGGUUUCUACCAGCGCCCGGAGGUUCCGGUGGAUUGCCAGCUACUGGGGGUCUGUUGGCUCGGGGAGGCUGCGUAGAAGCAUCGCUGCGGCGGUGAUGUUCUGUCCGGCCUGAGCGAACUACGGGAGGUCGUUCCCUCCUGCCAGGAUCUUGCGCUGGACCUAACGGGCGUGGCCUCGAGCGCCGCUUGCCGGGUUGCACGCGUGCGGUGAGGAGUGAUGCGCUGGGCGCGCUGGCGGAGGCGGCUGUUGGUCCUGCUACCGCUGUCACAGCUUGUCACCAUGCGCCUGCGCUUGCGCCAGGGGCUCCACACGGUGGUUCGGCGGGGUGUGAGUCUCAAAAGAUUCCACCACCUCCGAAAGCUGUUCCAGGGCAUCCGCCAUGGUGCACUCUUGGGACAGAGGAUGGUCAAGUGCCAUCAUGUCGCUAAUGCUGGAGCUGUCGCUCUCUAGCUCCUCGUCGCAGAGUCGUUGAAGGAGGCGGGAGCGUAGUCCGCCAUUCCCACAAACUCGCACGAGUGGAGAGACAAUGUCAUGACCCUCCAAAGCCCCCGUGUGUAUGCAUCCACCAGGGAUGCAAGGCCGAAGGGGAGCCAGGCACGCAGUGAACGUAGCGGGGACACGGAGCUCCUCUGGAGAGCUGACGGAAAGUGUUAGCCAGUGAAUACAUGAUAGUACCCACGUAAUUCAUCGUGGGGUUCAUGCCCAGCACGGACUUGAUGCGGAGUGUGAGUGCCUCCACGUCAAGGUCGUCGAGGGGCUCACGGACGACAAUGCGAGCCGCCUUUCCUAGGGAUGCGGGGAAGUCAUCUCCUCGUGGGGUCAGAGUACACCGAACUGAUUAGCGAUGAACUCCAGACUUCCAAAGUGGAAGGCCUGGGACAACGCGAAGACGGGUGGAACCCACGUCCCACCGAGGAUGGGCGCGGGAAACUUUAGUGAGCCGAAGCGAAUCGUAUCACUCGAGCCCACCAUGCCGAGGGUGGAAAUGAGGUGGCCCAUCCAAUGAACUGCAAAAGGCGAAUGCAACGACGUCCUUCCCACAGACGGCGCCAACUGUCGGUGCAAAAUCUAGUCGACAAGUAAAUAUUUGUAGUUUUGCCGUGCAUUAGAUCAGAUAUGGCCUAGCAUACAAUGACACAGGAUGUAUACUGGUUCGGGCAACGCGCCCUACGUCUAGUUGGGGUCAGUCGAUCGACUUUAUUCUUGAGCCCAGGUGCUCAAAAUUUGCAGUGGGGGUAAAAACGAGAGGAGGAUGAGAGGGGGUGCCUGAGUCCUGGCCUUGUUCUCAUCUCAGUGGAAGAGAGUGGCACAAGUUUAGACUUGUGCUAAGUGUUUGAGAGUGUGAGAGCGUAAGAGUGUAGGAACGUCCGAGUGCGUAUAUCAACGUCCCUGUUCCCCCGUAGAGGUGAAGGGUCCAUCCCCUUCUAUUGUACAAGGGAACGGCCUUACAGGUCGGAAAGGAUAAGAGAGUGAGUGUAGAUGCGCUGCCUAGUCUUGUCGAAGCUCACGUCGUCUGGUGUGGUAUGACCUCCGUCCUCGAUCCCUAUUCUCGUCGUCAGGCCACUCCGUCAUAGCGAGUAGGUUUACGGCGGCACUGUGCGAGGCGUGCGCAGGGCGUGGCGCGGUAUGGUUCGGCGUACGGCUGGCUGACCCAAGCGCUUCCUCGUUAUCCAUCCACCUACUCCCUGAGCCCACACCAGCGGACGUCCCCAGUCAGUUGUCCCAAUCAGCCCCGACCAAGUCAGUCGGGGAGAGCGGUACGGGCGGUACAGUGCAUCCCUGGUCAUGAGAACUCAGUCGAAGGACUGUGGCCCCACCCCUGACUGACUCCUUCUGAAUAGGGUGCCAACUAGGCUUCCUGGUCGGAGGAAUCGGCCGGUGGCCGGAUUAGGGCCUCAGCCUGGCUACGCGUAGCCGGGUUGGCCUAGGUGCACGUUGUUGCGGUGCCCCUCGUUGGGCCAAGUGUUGUGGGAAGGCUGUCCCGUUGGGGACCCCGGGUCUAUGGACCCGUCAGGAUCCUUGCUCUUAAGUUUUAGCAUCAAGUUCUAGUUGAUUAACCAUUCUAGAUAAGUACAUAUUCUAAGCAAGAAUGGUAGAACAAGCAAUUUAAUCAAGCAUCAUCCUUGUUCAUCUUUUUACUCAAUGUAGCAUAGUGAUCAAGUAGUCUCAAACUGUGAGAAUCAGACGAUUAGAAUCGAAUUUCUUAACCUUGCAAGAUGGAUCUAAACACACGACAUAUGCAUACCACGACGAGUUCACAUAUACCAAUGGUUCCCAUCAAUUCGAUUAUCCAGAUCCCACUUCCCUUGGAUACAAGGCCCCACCGGUCCCCGGAACGACACCGUGACGUGGCCGCACUUGUAACCACAUGAGGCCUCAGGGGAACUCGAUUCCAGAGAAAGCAGGGUACAGGUUCACGCCGGUUAAUUCAAGUACUAGGCUUACUGAUUCCCCAUACUCUCAGCAUGUGUUUAGUACAUUCAAACACUUGACCACGAACACCGACACAGUUCGACCUUAGCAAAUUUCCUCUAUACAGAUGGGGCAUCCACAAUUUUAGGAACAUAGUACCAAGCCCCGCUCGUCAACCUUAUGAUUCCAAUAUAAUUAAACAGGCUAGUCCUAUAACUCGCGAGUGACAGGAAAUCACUCGACUUUUACCGUGUCCCUAUUUAGCAUAGUACCUACUCGACUUAACAUGCUAGUAUUCAAGUCAUGGGUACUAGGAGCAUGCAACUAAGGUUUCAAGAAACUCCUAUGAACUUAAUACACAAACAUAAGUAUCAUAAGUAUUGCAUAAUUUAGAAACUAGGGUGAUGAUCUGGGGCUUGCCUUGGGCUCUUCCGAAUCUAGGUUUGGGUCUUGAGUCGUCUUGAUCAGGUUCAGCUCCGCAAUAGGAGAGGGUUCUUCUUCAACUUCCAGGACUAGCUCGUAAGUUCCGUCCGUGAGGUUAGCUUCUAUACGAGAUGCAUAUGUAUAAGUUUUCAUUUAUAAUCUUUCAUUUCAUUAAUUAUUCCAAAAGCAUAGGGUGUAUUUUCGGCCACAUUCACUUAGACAAGUUUGUAACAUUUCUUUUCUUCGCAAAACAAGGUUGGUUAGGAAGAAACAUGGAUUUUAUUUUGAUGGUGAUUGUGUACACAUAUAAGAUUCUUAAAAACUUAGUAUUUAAAAGAUAGAAGGUGGUGUCGUGUUGCAACCUUCAUACGAGUGAUUAUGUUACUGAAGAAAAGCACAAUAAUUACUCGUGAGCCUACAAGUCGUAAUACUACUUAUUUUUAAGAAUCAAACUAGCUUUCAAACAUGAAUAAAUAUUUUAGGAAGCAUCUGUUAAGAUAUGGACAUGAAAGUUUUACAGGAACUUUCCCCCUACACAAGAUAUCUACUGUAAAAAAAUUUGAGAUGAAAAUUGACAACCACAGAAUUUACUAAAAAUCAAAUAUAAUUACAUUACAGAUUAUGAGGAAUGAUUUUUUAACUAGAUUUACAUCAUGAGUUUGCAACUACAAAUUUUACACAAGGGUUUCCAACACUAACAUAUGCUAUUGUGAAUAUUUCAGGAUUUAAUGAGCAUGAGAACUAUUCAUUCCACAAUAAGGAGAUUAAACAACAUUCAUUUUCUUAAGUAACCAAAAAUACAUAUCUCACAAGGAUAAAUAUUUUUACUAGUAAGGCAUGAGCAUCAAGAAUCUAACAAAAUUUAUUUGGCAUUUUUAUCAUUUUUCCAGUAAUUAUCAUGCAAAUAACAUUAUUAGGAUAGCAAAUAGGCAAUUAGAUGUAAAAAUAGUAUGAACUCCAUAUAUUCUCUUAAUACAAAUUGCAGAUCUGGAACAUGCAUGUUAAAUGGAAGCUAACAAAAUUGAUUUCACAAAUUUUAGACCACCAAAUGAUUUAUAAGGCAUUUAAUGACUUUUGGACCAAAUAAAUCAUAGCACCAAAUACAGAAUAGUAACAUGCACAAAAAUAUUUUUGAAAUAAACUAGAUGUCAUUAGGAACUCAACAAAACAAGAUUCGCAUUUUUAGCAUUUUUCUACACAUUUCUAUACAUUUUCCAAGUUUGCAGCUAUUUAAAUCUAGGAAAUAAAUCAAAAUCGAGGCCAACUUUUAAAACCACCCUGAAAUAUUUUGAUUAUCGCAUAGAGGUCCCUGAAAUUUUCCCAUAACCCCCUACCCUUUCUUCUUCUUCUUCUUCACUAACACCCUUACGCACAAUGCACAGAAUAGACGCACGGGCAGGCACGGGCUCGGCCGGCCAUUGCCCAGGCAAGCGGUGGUGGGGGGAGCUAGAUGGCGCGGUAGCGGGGGAGAGAGGCGGGGUGGCACCAAGGGCCAGGGUGCUCACCAGCAGGAGGUCCGCACGAGGGAGGCCUUCACGGCGGACGAGAGCGGCGGUUGAGUAGCGAAAUGGGUUCGCAGCAUCGUGGGGAAGCUUUGGGCACGAGAAAUUGGACCGGGGCUCACCGCCGGCGGCGAAUUUCUGACUACAGUGGCAGCUCGGAGGUACUGGUAAUGGACGGAAUGGAGGGAGGAAAGGGGGCAACAGUUCCAGGAGAGGCCGGCGUUGCUUAUAAGGGCGAGGAGCAGCGGGGGCACCGACCACGGUGGCCAAUCCAGAUGAGCACCGCUAGCGCUGGCCAAUGUGUGAGCACCGCCGGUCUGUCCAACCAACCACGCACAGGCGCAAGAGAGAGGUGGAAGACGCUGACGCGUGGGCCCGGCAAAUUUUAAAACAUUCAACUUUCCCUACUCAAAUGACCCAGCUACGGGCACAUAAAACUCUCCUAAAAAUACUCAUUUGAAAGAUAAAACCGCAAAGAAUACAAUGCCAUAAGAAUCACCUCAAGAACUGCUUAGGUUUCCACACAAUUGACAAAGGAAAACAGCCAAAACUGAAAUUUAAAUGAAUUUUUAACAUAAGGAAAUAUCACUGAAAAAUUAAGUAAAAAAUAUUGUAAAAUCAUCAAAUUGCAUCUAGUAUUUAAAUAAAAUAAUAGGAGGCACAAUUGCAUAACAGAAAUCGGAGUUGCUCAAUCAUGUGAACUUAAACAAUGCAUGGCCAAGAUGCUCAAUUAUGCACAAAUGAUGCUCAUGAUGCUCAAUUAUGAAAGUUGCUUCAUUUGAAAAGAUCUACCAUUUUUAUAUUAGCCAAAAAUUAAGUUCUUACAUUAAGUUUGCUUUUAUUUGCUUCCCAAUUGCUUUAGUACAAAGGUGUUUAACACUUAGUCAUUUAGAGUUAGCUUUGAUUUAUUCCUUAAUCACUUUGAUGUUUCUUUGAUUUAGUCUCUUAAUUACUAGGGAUGUCACACUCGGUGGGGUAGAUCCUCUGGAACGGCCACGCCAUCACCUCCCUGGGCAUGUUCCAGCAGUACAAGCUGCAGCUCAACUGGAUAUCGCUUAAGGACGCCAUCAAGGAGAAGCUCACGGUGCUGAAGAACGUGCAGUGGUUAGAGCUCCUCGAGGGGAAGGAUGGCAGCAGUGCGGGCCCGACCAUCGAGCUCAUGGGGCUCGGCAGGCUCAUGAACGAGAAGUCUAGGGUGCUCUCCAUGGGGCAGAGGAAGCGGCUGCAGCUCGCCAGGCUGCAAGCCAUCGACUGCCCAUGUGGUUGCUAGAUGAGCCCUCCAUCGUGAAGGAUGUGGAGGGCACUAGGCUGCUCGAGUACAUCAUUGCGGAGCACUGGAAGAAGGGUGGGAUCGUGUUCGUGGCCAUGCACCUGCCCAUCGAGAUUGAGGAUUCCAUGUCCCUUCGGCUUCCGCAGAGGUUCCCCCAGAGGAAGACGCUGGUUGAUCUUGUCCAUUGAUGUCAAUGUGAGCAUAGGAAUUUAGCUGUAUCUCUCUAAUUCUUCUCCAGCUAUCUGUCUGAAUGCUGUUGGGGCAAAUUUUGACUGGUGCUGCAUUUGUGAUUCUAUAUUCGGGAAAACAUGAACAACACAUUCACAAUGUCCAUAUAUGUGGAGCUGUUCUAUGUGAUCAUGGUUUUGAUGCAUUGGUCGAUAUGUUCUACUUGCUGGUGGAAUCUUCUUUUGUUUCCUAUUCAUGGUGCAGUAGGUUUUACUGAUGAAUUGCUUAACCCAUCUGAAGCUUCAAGUGGUGCAAACCGGGAACCUUGACCAAAUUUGCAGACCUUUGUACAGGAUCAGGUAACUGAUGUGUGGUUUAGGAACAUCUGUUUUCUCACACUUUUAUGCAUCGAUUAACAUUGAUUUCUGUCCUAACAUCCGCGUUCAGUCUGAUCCUGUUUAUAAUUUUACAACUUAGAAAUCUUUGUGCAGCUAUUCCUGUCACCGCAAUAUGUUCAGAACAAGUGGCUGGCUACAUUUCCAAAAUGUGAUGUCGUGUUUAACAGAUAAAUAAACAAUGUUUGAUCUGCAUUUAAUAGUUGUCCACUUGGUUUAUCUCUUCUGGCAGCCUUAGUUUACAUAUCGUUUGUGCUCAUGGGAAUCCUCUGCAUAAAUCAGCACGUUUACUUCUCUACCAAGCUAAUCCUAGUUUUAAUUGGACAAGAAGAAUUCUGAGAAAUAAGUCAUUUCUUCAAGUUGAGGCAUUUCUAUUUUUUCCGAGUGCUAUGUGUACGUCAGAAUAGGCAGUACCCUGUGGAUUUACUGAGAACUUACUGAGUGGAUAUUAAACUAAGUAUCAAAAUCAGUCGUCCAAUUGGACUUGUGCUGAAGUGAGAACCACAUUUCAAAGUGCAUGACCAUAUCUUUGGUGCUUGCGUUGGACGAGUUAGAAGGAAAAAUGCACCAUCGGAUGUUGCGAUGGUCCACCAAAGCAAGUGUCGGACUAACCAUUAGAGAAAUUGGUACAACAGGAAAAACAGUGAAAAAUCUCGAGUGCACCAGAUGAUCCGAUGGGGCUCAUUUUACAAGCGUCGGAGCAAUUCGCUGAGGAGGCAUAGGAAACCCUAUAGCACCGAAUGUUCCGAUGCCCUAUGUAGUUGACCGUUGCACGAAGCAUAUUUACUUUGAAAUCCAACAUAAGGUUUUGGCCAGAAAUGCUUCACCACCAGAUGAUCCGACGGCACCAUCGGAGAAAUCAUCGGAGCAAUGACGUCAAGGGGAUUCAACGGAUAUGUGACAUGAACAGUGGCACCAGAUGAUCUGAUGAGGCAUUUGAUAAAGCGUCGAAUAAAUUUCUAAGGAAUUUGGGUGCGGGGAGUCCAACGGCUAGUUGCACCGGAUGUUCCGAUGCAGGCUAAAAAUAGACCAUCAAAACAUCCGAUGGUAUACUUUUUCACUAGCCGUUAGAGCAACAACUCUUUAAGCCCUUGAAGCUCUUUAUACCCCCACUACUCGCUAAUUUGGAGUUACUGGAGUGUCUAGGGAUCCAUUGAAGACCAAGACCCAUCAAGAACAUAUCCAUGCCACAAAAAGUGCUUAAGUAAUCCCUCAAAGGCUUAGCACAAGCUUAGGAGAGUGAUUAGUGCUAGGAUAGGCCUAGAGAGGAGUGAGUCCAAGGUGUGACAAUCUUGUGAUCAAGGUCUAGAGUGAAUCACCGUUGUACAAGAGGUGUGCCGAUGCCUUGGAGCCUUGGUGGCUCGCCGGCAAGUCUUCGACCCUCCGGCUUGGUGUGGAGCAGCGUCCACGACCUUGUGCGGGGGACGUGGAGAUCCCUUUCCUUCCAGGAGAAGCUCCUUUAGUGAAGACGGCAUCAAGUGUUGGAGGUAUGCCCUAGAGGCAAUCAUAGAAAUGAUGAUAUUCCAUUUGUAUCCAUGAUUUGUAUGUUGUGUUCAUUGAAUAUCCAUUGAAGGCUACUUGAAUUGAUUUGCAAUUAUGUGAAUUGUAUGUGAAACUCUUUACUUGUAUGGUUAUUCUAAAGUUGUCCCUAGUCGGAGUUCAUGUGAGGACACACAUGAAUAUUAGACUAGCACAUGUAUUAGUUGAUGACUAUGUUUCACAAGUCAUGGACAUGGAGAUGUUGAACUAAUAAUGUGGACACAUGUGGAGACAUGUGCUAGGACUGACCCAACACGAGAAGUAGUUCUCUCUUUAAACAACAUAUACGCUUUGUCCUUAGACCUGAGGUUGUCGCAUGUAUUCUAGAUGUGGAUCGACCUACUUAGGGGCUAUCAAACGCUACGCUGUAACAGGGUAGUUAUAAAGGUAGCUUUCGGGUUUGUCAAGAAGCAUGCUAUCAGACAUGGUCAAUCAAGAUGGGAUUUGCCCCUCUCUGAUUGAGAGUGAUAUCUCUGGACCCCUCGAGUGAUCGGAUCCGAAAAUGCAUGGCCAUGCUACGUAUGGUUAAGAGUUAAUCUACAAAGGGAUUCCGAAUCACAAGAUCGACAAAGAGCGGUCGGCUUGAAGCUAGACCAAAUAUCGUGAGGCAAAGGGAAUAGCAUGUAUAUUAUGUUGUGAUGGUUCGUCUGAUAUGAUCUUCGUGUGCGUAUAGGAGUUGGCACGUCUUGCUAGAGGCCGCUACCGACUAUUGGGCCGAGUAGGAGUACUCGGGCCAUGUCUAUACGUAUCCAAACCCAUAGGGUCACACACUUAAGAGGCUGGAAGCCCAAUUCGGAUCUGAUCCGAGUUGGAUUAGGUUUAGGAGUACUAAUGGGCCUCGGAUUCAGAGGCCCAUCAGGAACCUCUAUAAAUAGAGGGGUGGGGGCGCCCUAGGGUUUACACCUUUUGGCGAAACACACCUGCCGCGCCUCCCACGCCCUCACCUGUUGCAACUCGCGGAUCUAGCAGUCCGGCUUGCGACGCUUCCUCCCUACACGUGUGGAUACCUUGGAGGUGUUGCGCCUGCAGCACUUGGACGAGCCAUCGACGAGCCGCCGACGAGCCGUGACGAGCCGACGACGAGCCACGGCACCGGAGGCGAUCUUGCUGCACGUGGACGAGCUGCUGAGGAGCUGCUGGACGUGAUCGACUACGUAUGACUACGUGAUCGUAUUCACUGCACCGACGCAUAUCUACAUCUUCCGCACCAGUAGUGCGUCGAGUGGUAAUCCCGUGAUCCUUAUACGGCAGUUCUUCCUGGUUAUACGCGGUAGAAAUUUUGAUUUGCACUAGUGUAGCCUACCUCGUAUCCCAACAGUGGUAUUAGAGCCGUAGCUGCUUAGUUUUGGAUUCGGGAUGUGUGCAUAUGGAGAUAUGCGAGUUCUCUGUUUGAUCUAUGUCCUGAUUUCGUGCCCUUGCUGCAAUGGUAGUGUAACGACAUACUCCUACCAGUCGGUUUCCGCCAUCGGAGUUAAGUGAUACACGUAAAUCCAGUUGCAGUGAGGGAAGAUCAAUAUGAUUGGUUGAAUCGAGAUCCAGGGUCAUACGCCAGGCGCAUUAGAUGUGCAAUAGUAGAUGGGAUCUACUACCGGGGUCGGGAUUUUGCCGUAUGCGUAUGUUUCGGUAAAUCAGCCGUAACUUUUCGGUACGAUCUCGGAUCGAGGCGAUUUUUAUACGAAAAUUGAUCUACAGAAAAAGUUACACAUGAAUUUCAACGGCUUUGCCGUUUUCAGCGAAAUUAGAUUCCCCAAAUUCGGCUUGGAAGAUGGAGUUUCGGGCCUCCGAAGUUUGGAACGUUAGGACGCCUAACUCUGUUUUGCAGGAUGUAUGCAUGUAUCUUGUGAUCAGUAUGGCCCCCUUGUGUAUGUGAUGCAUGUGUGUAACUCAUUCGUGACCUGCGUGUCACGCGUACGGCAAUACGGCAGGAGCCAUAUGUGUUGUCACUUUAUUGUAUUUAAUGGUCUCCGUACCAAUCUGUGAUGAUCCAAGCAACUAUGUAAUCUUCAUUACUAGAUUCUUUACUAGCUAUUAGGCGUAAUAGCAUGCUCUAGUUCUUGGAGGACUCAUCACUAGGAGGAUGGCGCACAUGGAAUAUGGAGAUGGAGAUCACCAUGGUGAACAGGUUCUAUGGAGAUGGAGAUCACCAUAUGAAAAUGGGUCAUACUGUGUCACAAGCUGUGUGAAUGCUAUUCUGUUUAUGUUUUACUUUCUGCAUGCUGUGAUGUUAGAAGUAGAACGAUCCCUCGCAAAUUUUAAGUUAGUAUGCCCUCCCAACUAAAACUUGCACCGUCCCAUGUCUUGUACAAUUAGUGGUGGGUCUAUAAAAUUAGGGUGCCACUAGUUUUCCUUGACUAGACGGGUUUGUGUCGGACACUUACACGCAUAAGGGUUGGUUUGCUUAACGAGGUUAUCUUAACGGUUAAGGACCUUGGGGCAUAAAGGUUGGGCGCCGAGACAUAGAGAUGUCACCCAACAACAGGAGUCAUAUGUGAUAUGAUUAGCAAAAGUUGCUUACCGAUCUACCUCGUUUGCUAGCGGUGAUGCUAAAGCUCACUAGUAGACUUGUUAGUUGUGGAUCCUGAAUCACUAAGUUUCAAUAGAGGGAUAUUGAUUUUAGUGGGAGUAGAUUCUGUUAAAAUAGUUUAAUGUAAUUUGCUCUAUCAUGGAUACGUUUGUCUUAGUGUAUUUUGCAUUACUUUGUUGUAGAUUAAAUGGCACCUAGCAGCACUACACCGUUUGCUUUGCGUUCGGUCCUUGAGAAGGACAAGUUGAAUGGAACAAAUUACUCGGAUUGGAUCCGUAACCUGAGAAUUGUUCUCAGGGCUGAGAAAAAGGAAGAUGUUCUAGACAACCCACUACCAGAAGAACCUGCUGAUGAUGCACCCGCUGCUGCUAAGAAUGCUUACAAGAAAACAUGUGAUGCUAACCUCGAAGUAAGCUGCCUUAUGCUUGCUUGCAUGGAACCCGAGCUGCAGAUGCAGUUUGAAACAAACCAUGAGGCGCACGAUAUGAUCGUGGCGCUUAUAGACAUGUUCCAAACACAGACCAGGACUGAAAGGUUCAAUGUGUCUAAGGCCUUUGUUGAGAGCAAGCUAGCAGAAGGCGCAGCAGUAGGACCACACGUAAUCAAGAUGGUUGGUUACACUCAACGGUUGGAGAAGCUGGGCUUCCCACUGGGCCAAGAGUUGGCUACUGAUUUCAUUCUUUCGUCUCUUCCGCCUAGCUAUGGAAACUUCAUCUCGAACUACCAUAUGCAUGGGACGGAGAAGGGUCUGAAUGAGCUGUGUGGCAUGCUUAAAACAGCAGAGGCUGACAUCAAGAAAAGCGCUAGUACCAGCCAUGUGAUGGCGAUACAGAACAAGCCUAGCUUUAAGAAGAAGGGCAAUUCUUGGAAGAAGAAGGGCAAGGCUGGAACGUCCAAGCCAAACCCAACGCCCAAGGUUAAAGCUGGACCUGGACCUGCUCCAGACAAGGAGUGCUUUUACUGUCAUGAACUUGGUCACUGGAAGAGAAAACUGCAAGCAGUACCUAGCUUCCUUGAAGAAUGGCGGAAGUAAGAGUACUUCUACCUCAGGUACGCUUGUUGUUAAUAUUAUAGACAACAUAUUUCUCGCUGAUACAAUUAUUAAUUCUUGGGUAUUUGAUACCGGAUCGGUUGCUCAUAUUUGCAAUUCGAUGCAGGGAAUGAUAAGAAGUAGAAGCGUGGAAAGAGGAGAAGUUGAUUUCCGCGUGGGCAAUAAUGCAAGAGUUGCUGCUUUGACCGUUGGGACGAUGCAACUCCACCUCCCGUCAGGAUUUAUUAUGGAGUUGAAUAAUUGUUAUUUUGUUCCUAGUUUAAGUCGAAACAUUUUGUCUCCUUCAUGCUUGAUGGAGGAUGGUUAUUCAUUUGCGAGUGAAAACAAUGGUUGUGUGAUCUCUAAGAAUAAUAUGUUUAUGGCUUUUGCACCCAUUGUGAAUGGAUUAUUUGUUUUAAAUCUUGAUGGUUCACCUGUCUGUAAUGUAAGUGCUAAAAGGCCUCGGCCUAAUGAUUUGAGUCCUACCUACUUGUGGCAUUGUCGCUUGGGUCAUAUAAGUGAAAAGCGCAUGAAGAAGCUCCAUUCUGAUGGACUUCUAACUUCGUUUGAUUUUGAAUCAUACGAGACAUGUGAGGCUUGCUUGGUAGGCAAGAUGACCAAGAUGCCUUUCACAGGAUUUCCUGAGAGGGCAGUAGACUUGUUGGAACUCGUACAUAGUGAUGUAUGCGGACCAAUGAGCACGACGGCUAGAGGAGGAUUCCAAUACUUCAUAACUUUCACUGAUGAUUUUAGUAGAUAUGGCUAUGUCUACUUGAUGAGGCACAAGUCUGAAACCUUUGAAAAGUUCAAGGAAUUUCAGAAUAAAGUUGAAAAUCAGCGUGGCAAGAAAAUUAAGGCCUUACGAUCUGAUCGUGGAGGCGGGUAUUUGAGCCACGAGUUUAGCAAUCAUCUAAAGAGUUGCGGAAUUGUUCCCCAACUUACGCCGCCUGGAACACCUCAGAGAAAUGGUGUGUCCGAGCGACGUAAUCGAACUUUGUUAGACAUGGUUCGAUCAAUGAUGAGCCAGUCGGACCUACCGUUGUCAUUUUGGGGAUACGCUCUAGAAACAGCAGCUUUCACACUUAAUAGGGUACCAUCUAAAUCCGUAGUUAAGACACCAUAUGAGAUAUGGACUGGAAAGGUUCCUAGUUUGUCUUUUCUAAAGAUUUGGGGAUGUGAAGUGUUUGUCAAGCGACUUCAGUCGGACAAGAUCACACCCAAGUCGGAUAAGUGCAUUUUCGUGGGAUAUCCAAAGGAAACUUUGGGAUAUUAUUUCUACAACCGAUCAGAAGGCAAAGUGUUUGUCGCUCGGAACGGGAUUUUCCUAGAGAAAGAGUUUCUCAAAGGAGAAAAGAGUGGAAAGACAGUGCAUCUUGAAGAAGUUCAAGAUGAGCCGAUCGGGCAAGAAUCAAUGAGUGAUGCUAACGUAGCAGAACAAGUUGAGAUACCCAUGGCAAGAGAAGCACCGCCACAACCACGAAGGUCGGCAAGGCUCCGCGAAAUGCGGGAAAUAUUAUUGUUGGACAAUGAUGAGCCUGCGACAUAUGCAGAAGCAAUAAUGGACCCAGACUCCGAAAAAUGGCAGAGUGCCAUGCAAUCCGAAAUAGAGUCCAUGGGAGACAAUCAAGUUUGGAACUUGGUUGACCCGCCUGAUGGUGUUAAAGCCAUAGAGUGCAAGUGGAUCUAUAAGAAGAAAAAGGACAUGGAUGGAAAUGUUCACAUCUAUAAAGCACGACUUGUCGCAAAAGGUUUUCGACAAGUUCAAGGAGUUGACUACGACGAGACCUUCUCGCCUGUAGUGAUGCUUAAGUCCAUUCGGAUUAUUCUAGCUAUAGCUGCAUAUUUCGAUUAUGAGAUAUGGCAGAUGGAUGUCAAGACAGCUUUCCUGAAUGGAAACCUAGCUGAGGACGUGUAUAUGAUACAGCCUGAGGGUUUUGUCGAUCCGAAAAAUGCUGGAAAGGUAUGCAAGCUUCAGAGAUCCAUUUAUGGAUUGAAGCAAGCAUCUAGGAGUUGGAACAUUCGUUUUGAUGAAGUGGUCAAAGGGUUUGACUUCACCAAGAACGAAGAAGAGUCUUGUGUUUACAAGAAGGUUAGUGGGAGCUCUGUAGUAUUUCUAAUCUUAUAUGUGGAUGACAUAUUACUGAUUGGAAAAUAACAUUCCUAUGCUUGAGUCCGUAAAGACUUCACUGAAAAAUAGUUUUUCGAUGAAGGACUUAGGUGAAGCGGCAUAUAUUCUGGGCAUUAAGAUCUAUAGAGAUAGAUCGAGAAGGCUUAUAGGUUUAAGCCAAGAUACUUACAUUGACAAAGUGUUGAAGCGGUUCAGCAUGGAAGAGGCAAAGAAAGGGUUCUUGCCUAUGUCACAUGGCAUACAUCUCAGCAAGACUCAGUGUCCUUCGACUGCUGAUGAGCGGGAUCGCAUGAGUAGAGUGUCAUAUGCCUCGGCUAUUGGAUCUAUCAUGUAUGCAAUGAUAAGUACUCGCCCAGAUGUUUCAUAUGCGCUAAAUAUGACAAGCAGACACCAAUCUGAUCCAGGUGAGAGUCACUGGACAGCGGUGAAAAAUAUUCUUAAGUACUUGAGAAGGACUAAAGAUAUGUUCCUCGUCUAUGGAGGUGAGGAGGAGCUCGUUGUAACAGGUUACACCGAUGCUAGUUUCCAAACCGACAGAGAUGAUUCAAAGUCACAAUCAGGAUUUGUGUUCACACUGAAUGGUGGUGCUGUUAGUUGGAAGAGUUCCAAGCAGGAGACGGUGGCCGAUUCUACGACAGAAGCCGAGUACAUCGCGGCUUCGGAAGCCGCGAAGGAAGGUGUUUGGAUAAGGAAUUUCCUCAUUGAGCUUGGUGUGUUCCCGGAUGCGUCCAGCCCAUUGAAUCUCUACUGUGAUAAUAAUGGGGCAAUUGCGCAAGCAAAGGAGCCAAGGAACCACCAGAAGAACAAACACGUAAUGCGGCGAUUUCAUCUCAUUCGAGACUUCGUUAACCAGGGUGAGAUCAAGAUAUGCAAAAUACACACGGAUCUGAACAUUUCUGAUCCGUUGACAAAACCACUCCCGCAGGCUAAGCAUGAUGCGCAUGUAAGAGCUAUGGGUAUUAGGUACCUUCUAGAUUGACUCUAGUGCAAGUGGGAGACUGUUGGAGGUAUACCCUAGAGGCAAUCAUAGAGAUGAUGAUAUUCCAUUUGUAUCCAUGAUUUGUAUGUUGUGUUCAUUGAAUAUCCAUUGAAGGCUACUUGAAUUGAUUUGCAAUUAUGUGAAUUGUAUGUGAAACUCUUUACUUGUAUGGUUAUUCUAAAGUUGUCCCUAGUCGGAGUUCAUGUGAGGACACACAUGAAUAUUAGACUAGCACAUGUAUUAGUUGAUGACUAUGUUUCACAAGUCAUGGACAUGGACAUGUUGAACUAGUAAUGUGGACACAUGUGGAGACAUGUGUUAGGACUGACCCAACACGAGAAGUAGUUCUCUCUUUAAACAACAUAUACGCUUUGUCCUUAGACCUGAGGUUGUCGCAUGUAUUCUAGAUGUGGAUCGACCUACUUAGGGGCUAUCAAACGCUACGCCGUAACAGGGUAGUUAUAAAGGUAGCUUUCGGGUUUGUCAAGAAGCAUGCUAUGAGACAUGGUCAAUCAAGAUGGGAUUUGCCCCUCUCUGAUUGAGAGUGAUAUCUCUGGGCCCCUCGAGUGAUCGGAUCCGAAAAUGCAUGGCCAUGCUACGUACGGUUAAGAGUUAGUCUACAAAGGGAUUCCGAAUCACAGGAUCGAGAAAGAGCGGUCGGCUUGAAGCUAGACCAAAUAUCGUGAGGCAAAGGGAAUAGCAUGUAUAUUAUGUUGUGAUGGUUCGUCUGAUAUGAUCUUCGUGUGCGUAUAGGAGUUGGCACGUCUUGCUAGAGGCCGCUACCGACUAUUGGGCCGAGUAGGAGUACUCGGGCCAUGUCUAUACGUAUCCAAACCCAUAGGGUCACACACUUAAGGGGCUGGAAGCCCAAUUCGGAUCUGAUCCGAGUUGGAUUAGGUUUAGGAGUACUAAUGGGCCUCGGAUCCAGAGGCCCAUCAGGAACCUCUAUAAAUAGAGGGGUGGGGGCGCCCUAGGGUUUACACCUUUUGGCGAAACACACCUGCCGCGCCUCCCACGCCCUCGCCUGUUGCAACUCGCGGAUCUAGCAGUCCGGCUUGCGACGCUUCUUCCCUGCACGUGUGGAUACCUUGGAGGUGUUGCGCCUGCAGCACUUGGACGAGCCAUCGACGAGCCGCCGACGAGCCGCGAUGAGCCGACGACGAGCCACGGCACCGGAGGCGAUCUUGCUACACGUGGACGAGCUGCUGAGGAGCUGCUGGACGUGAUCGACUACGUACGACUACGUGAUCGUCUUCACUGCACCGACGCAUAUCUACAUCUUCCGCACCAGUAGUGCGUCGAGUGGUAAUCCCGUGAUCCUUAUACGGCAGUUCUUCCUGGUUAUACGCGGUAGAAAUUUUGAUUUGCGCUAGUGUAGCCUACCUCGUAUCCCAACAUCAAGGUGACUGAGUUACUUGGCAUGAGCCUUUGUGGCAAGUCAAAGGAUCACAUUGGGAGAGACAUGGUGACCGGGAAGCAAUAAUCUUGUGUGAGUGCUUCAACAACAUGAACUAGUGGUAGCUUAGUGCCUACCGAUACUACGGGAUAAAUCAUUAUAUCAAGAGUUUGCUUCCUAUCAAAUCAUCAAAUUGCAGAAAUGUUAAUGUUUAAGAUUUGGGAGAAGGUGACCCAAUUACCAUCCUCGCUCCAGCCCAGUUACCAAACUACACUGAGCCCACCCACAACCAACCAACUCGGGCACUCCGCAGUCCGCACGGCCCAACACCCGCCUCACUCCUCUCAGCAGCCCUCCCACACGGCCUCUCCACGCGCCGCCUGCUGCCGCACUCCCCUAAUCAUCGCCACCGCCUCCACCCCAGGGCUACCCACCUUGCCGAGCCCAUCCGUCCACCUCCAACCGACUCACCAGCUCCCGAGCCACCAGACCACUCGGCCAGAUGCUGCCGCUCCGCCCCCCGCCACCGCGGCUCCUGCUCAACAACAUCUCAUGCAUGCGGAACGCGCAGACGGUGCUCCGGGACAUCAACCUCAGCGUCCACGACGGCACGGCCCUCGUCCUCACCGGCGCUAGCAGCUCCGGCAAGACCACCCUGCUCAGCAUGCUAGCAGGCUUCUCGCGGUCCUCGGCGCGGGAGAUCCUCUGGAACGGCCACGACAUCACCUCCCCAAGCGUGUUCCAGCAGUACAAGCUGCAGCUCAAGUGGAUGUCGCCCAAGGACGACGUCAAGGAGAAGCUAAUGGUGCUGGAGAACUUGCAGUGGUUCGAGCUCCUCAAGGGGAAGGACGGCAGUAGGGCGGGCCCGGCCAUCGAGCUCAUGGGGCUCAGCAAGCUCAUGAAGUUUAUACUCUGUAGUCUGCAGUUCUGCACACUUAAGCCCUACUCGUUUCACGAUUAACCUUGUGAUUGGCCGGCCUAGCCAUUUUUUCAAGUUGUGCCAUCUUGAGGAGCUAUCGACCAAAUGGUUCUUCACAUUGCACUCGAAGUUAAUCUGAGUUGCAAGUGUAUCUGCUGCUGCUCGAGCUUGUAGAAACUGGCCGUGAUUUGCAUAUGAGGUGAGUGUUACACUUUGCUCAGGCCCGUUUCAGAUGGCUGUAGACUGUAUUACAUUUGUAAAUACUAGUAUUAUUUUUCCCUGGAGGAACAUUGAUCGAGAGUUCACUAUUUUGUCAUUACUGUUGCCAACAGGGAUCUUGCAAAGAGCACAAUCUUUGACAAGAUCGAUAUCACUUUGCUCAUGAAGCUGGUACGUUGGACAAUGAUUCUUGCAUCCGUCAAGUUGUCGCGAUAAUUGGAAGACCAAGUUUAAGCAUCCAGAGACAAAAUGCUCCCAGUAAUAUGCAAAUACAUAGGGAUGACAGUGUGACACCAGUUCAGGCCUUCAGGGCGUCCUCAAAACUCGCUCAGAGCAUGCUCUGGAAGCAAGGCAAGUGUUCAGGUUCAGUGGUCUGAUGCAAUUUUGAGAUAAAAUUGAAUGUUUUGAGGUUUCCUCACGUCCCAAUUCCUGAGUAGACAUCAGAAAACUACGACUUGCACUGUACUCGGACAGUAGUGUGUUUUCCCAUGACAAUAUAGCUUUGGGAAACUCUCGAUUAUUCAAGCAGUUUCCUGCAACUAAAUGCUGUCCUUUCCUUGGCUACAAAUCAAUUAUAUUCUGGGAAUGGUUUUUGAUAUGCAGGACUACCGUUCAUCCUGCAGCGUGUUGUUGGCCUCGGCCGAAGUAUAAUUUCUGAAACAUCAUAGAGAGUCAGAACGGCACAACGCAGCCUGCUGUUGAAUACUUCAGAGAAUACAGGCUGGUGUGGUAGUUA
rnacentral:lncRNA from 1 species